rnacentral:rRNA from 1 species
CGAAAGCCUGACGGAGCAACGCCGCGUGUGGGAAGAAGGCUCUUGGGCUGUCAACCACUUUUCUCAGGGAAGAAGUUCUGACGGUACCUGAGGAAUCAGCCUCGGCUAACUCCGUGCCAGCAGCCGCGGUAAUACGGAGGAGGCAAGCGUUAUCCGGAAUUAUUGGGCGUAAAGCGUCCGCAGGGGGCGCAUCAAGUCUGCUGUUAAAGGCUGGAGCUCAACCCCGACGCGGCAGUGGAAACUGGGAGGCUAGAGUACGGCAGGGGUAGAGGGAAUUCCCAGUGUAGCGGUGAAAUGCGUAGAUAUUGGGAAGAACACCGGUGGCGAAAGCGCUCUACUGGGCCGUGACUGACCCUGAGGGACGAAAGCUAAGGUAGCG